UCUUGUAAAUUGGUUUUAUGACAACGCUUAAAAUAAUGGUGACUUUCAUAUGAAUUUUAUCUUUCAUUUUUAUCAUGCAUCUUAACACUUUUGUCUUUUUAUGUCACAUUUACAUACUACUAUUUUUUUUUUUAAAGAACGAAUCAUGUGUGGGGAAAAUAAUGCAAGGGACUUAUAAUUAGGGUCUUUUAUUCUAAUUUUUUUGCGAUAGAGAUAAUCUUAAAGAUGUGUGGAUCUUAAAGACUAUGGAUAAGCUUUUUAUUUUGCUUUCAUGCUUCCUUUCGUAAAAGAAAAGACCUUCACAAUUUUUUUGCAGUUCGGAAGCCGAUUUUAUCAAGGAAAUUGUUAAAGAGCUUGAGAGAGUUCUAGAUGAAAUUCGACACAAGGCCACAGCAGAGUAUCAUUGUAUCAAUUUCCUCCAGAAUAAGAAAAGAAAAAAGAUGUAUCAGUUUUUUCCUGAAAGUGAGAAGAAAAGUCUUGGAAAUGGUCAUAUCAAUUCCUCACAUGUAAGAGGUCAAGAAGACUCAAGAGGAGCAAAACCAAGAAGUUCUGAUAUAUAAACGUGGUUCAAACGUUCUUACAGUAUAUCUGACGUGGUUUGUCCCGGCUGUGGUGACGUUUAAGGCGGAGUUUUGCCGACAUUUGUAAGCGAAACGGAAGAGGUUGCUCAGGGUUUUUAUCUUUGACGCUGCCAUCUUUUACGAAUCUUUUGACUCAAAUCAAAAAAAGAAAGAAGAAACAGAGUUACUUGGUGAACAAGGAUAAAUAUGUGACUGAAUAAGAAAAGCUAGGGUUUGUGGAAAUCUAGUUAAACCCUAAAAAGCGACCAGUCAAACCCUAAACAAAACAAUCUAUAUAGGUUAAAUUGUAUAUUCGAGAGUAUAACCUUUUUUUAUAUAAAUAUGUGAUUUUUUUUUUA